rnacentral:rRNA from 1 species
CACCUGAUCCCAUGCCGAACUCAGAAGUGAAACGCAAUAGCGCCGAUGGUAGUGUGGGGCUUCCCCAUGUGAGAGUAGGACAUCGCCAGGC